rnacentral:ncRNA from 1 species
AUUGACAGCACCUUUGCGAUAUAAGGGAUCAGCGGCAAGUUCAGGAUCAAAAGUACAAGGUUGCCAAUGAACAUCGACAUGAUCACCGCCCAAAAAAUCUGAGGCUCGUCGAUCAUCAGGCGUGGGCC